UUGGACGAAGAUAACAGGAAGCUUCUCCCUCGUGGUUGUCACCGUGCAAUUCGUAAGCGGGUUUUAGAGUACAUGCGUUAUUCUGUAGUUUUGAUCAGUGUUCAAUUGAACUUUAUAAUUUUAUUUUUGUUAUUACUUAUACUCAGUUACUGUACCAUAUAGUUCCUUAGUAGGUCUCAGAGUAGAUUAUAGUUAAUUUUGGUAAUAAAGUCCCCAAGUGGGUUUCAGAGUAGAUUAUAUUUAAUUUUGGCAAUAAAGUCCCCAAGCAGGCUUCAGAGUAUAUUUAAUUUUGAUCAGUGUUGAAGUGAAUUUGGUUAUUUUACUUUUAGUAUUAUUGAUAAGUAUGUACAAUUUUAUAUUAAGUUACUGUACCAUACAGUUUCUUGGUAGGUUUCAGAGUGCAUUGCCAUAUUAAAUUUUGGUCACUAAGUGAAUUUGUUCAUUUUAUUUUUUUUAUUAUUGAUGAUUAUGUACACAUAUAUAUCUAAUUACUGUACCUUUAAGUGCGAAUAUAAUUGUAAAUAAUAUCCUCGCAAAAUAUGUGUUUUGAUAUGAUACCUCGGAGUAAAUAUAUUGAAGGUUUAUAUUUGUAAACCAACUUUAUUGUGUUAUCUCCAAAGAAGGGAAUUAAAAGUUGUGUGUGUCUCAGCGAGAUAAUUACCAGUACACAACACCAUGUAGAGGAUGAGAGGUAAAAAAAAAAAAGUGCAAGAUGCAAGUGCGUGAGGAUGUGAUGUGAACGCCGCGUGAGGGAAACCGAGUGAGAAGCCAGGGGGCGGAGGCGUCUUUUAACCAGUGUGCGCGUGACAGGCGGAGGAGACGUGUCGCAGCGGCUCACGGGAAGGCUUCUAUGGGUGACUGUGCCGGAAAAUAAUGGUAUUGUGGAGUGUGAUUAGUGAAACUGUGACUUUAAACUACUAGAGAUCAUACAUAUCAGGACGACUUUAUUGAAUUCAGGGAUUCAAGUGAAUACCGGCAGUAUUCUUGAAAGUGUAAAGAACGAAAAGUUAAGAAGUGUCUCCUUGUACCAUCAGUUGAAAAGCAGGUGGUGGUGAGGUGCUGGGCACUUCUGGUUGGGGCGCUGCGCGAGGACUGCGUGAGCCAAGUGGUCGGGGCCACGCCCUGAGGGCAUGCCCGGAUGGGCUAAACCCUCGCCGUGCCCCCGAUGUGACCCCAGAGCCUAGCUCAUGUGACCCGUGGAGUUGUAUGACCCCGCUGUUGUGGUGGCCUAGAUUAGUCAGUUAGUCGGUCAGUGCCUUCACUACAACCGCCACCACCACCAUCACCAUCAGCGACAACAACAAUAACACAAUAACAACAACAACAACAACUACAAUACCAACAACAGUUACUGUUAUUACUACUACUAUUGCCAGUAUAGCAAGAAUAAUAACAAAACAACGACAUUGCUACUACAACGAUCAUCAGCCUUGACCACACUACACAGGAGGAAGGCCAGUCCCUCUCACAUGAAAAAUGGAAACGCCCUUGAAGACCCAAAUAAUUUCUCCCAGUAUGUUUGAGGUGUUCGACAUAAGACGCCGAAACGCUGAAGAAUUAUUGCGUUCUCGUACUCUGUUCACUGCAGGGUGGCGGGAGGCUAAGGGAAGAACCACGCGUAACGACCGCUUCCCUGCCUAUCUGGAUUGCCUGGUUGGGUCACUUUGUUUCAUCUGGGGCCCCAUUUCACCCGUUUACUAAUUUUAUCCGAUCUGAACUUACAACUUCGGCUGCAUAUUACACACAGAGGUUUUCACAAAUGUAUUAUGUGAGAUGUGGGUGUGUGGAGUGGCUGUGGGUGUGUUGUGGGCGUACUUACGUGUACAUACCUGGUAACCAUAUGGUGGUGAACAGGUGACCACAAUGUGAACUACUGCCACGUACUACUACUGCUGUUGCUACUACUACUACUACUACUACUACUACUACUACUACUACUACUACAAAACAAGAACAAAACAACAACAACAACAACAACAACUACUACUACUACUACUACUACUACUACUACUACUACUACUACUACUACUACUAUUACAAAGCAAGAACAAAACAGCAAGAACAAGAACAACAACAACAAGUACAACAACAACUACUACUACUACUACUACUACUACUACUACUACUACUACUACUACUACUACUACUACAAAACAAGAACAAAACAGCAAGAACAACAACAACAACAACAACUACAACAACAACAACUACUACUACUACUACUACUACUACUACUACUACUACUACUACUACUACUACUACUAC